AAAGAGAUGGAGAAAAGAGGGGCACGUGAAAGCUAAGGCAGCUCCCAACAUUCCCAUCGGACGUAGGCUAUAGCGGCCGAGCGGGUAUGGGACCAGGUUCACUGAACCUCCCUCUCCCUCUCCCAUUCCAUUUCUUUAUUUUUGUAUAUAUUUCCUUCACAACAACAUCACUCCUCAUUUCUUGCCUUCUACCUUCUUCUUCCAUCAACCAUAAACAAUGGGGUAGAGUAACUAAGCAUGAGCCGUUGCUUUCUUCUCCAAAAAGAAGAUAGUCAAGAAUGAUAAUGUCAAUAUUUCUCACGAGACAAACAGCUUUCUUUACACUUUUGUUAUGGUGAACAGAAGUGGCAUCUGUUGUAGCCAUUUGCCCGCUUUCUGAUCAUUUAUAUUGCUCUUGAGUUCAGCUAUCGUGGCCUCGUCAUGGCAGCCAUGACCCAGAAGAGUGAGGCCAAUGGGAGCAAUUCGCGCGGUCCGGUCGCUCCUUCUGCAGGAAUGUGAUUGAAGAGUAGAGAAGAGAGAACAGUUUGUUGUUCUUGGAUGAGUUCCCCCUAUUUGAAACUUCACGUACUUAACAUUUUGAUGUCCUUUGGCUGAUAGGUGGUUUUGUUUUAAAUAAAGCCUCUGUCGUUGUCUCUUAUUUGUGCAUUGCUCCUAGGCUCAACAAAAGGUUCAAAAUAAAGGAAUAUGCAGAGACGUUCACCGUGAAAGGGGGAGGUAUACAUAUGUUUAUGGAAACUUCACAAAAUCCAGCGAAAUAAACAUCUACUUUUCAAAAAUGCUCCCAAUCGUUCACGUCUUCAAUUUCGAGCAAACAUUAGUCGUUCAUCGUCUUUAAUUUCGAGCAAACAUUAGGGUUUACCUUCGUCGUCUCCAACAGGACCUUUGCUCCACGCCAGUUGAAAGAAAAUCACUACGUCGUGAAGCCAUUUUUCAUUAUGGUUAGUCUAUUUUUAAACUUCGUAUAUCAAAUAGAAUGGAUAUAUUUGCUGGGAUCAUAUUUCUUUUCAGUCUGGAACCGUCUUUUUCCUAGUAUUUUAUUAGAAAAUGAGAUUGAAGAAGCAUUUAGGGUUUUUUAACAAUAUUGAUUUCUACUGUGAAAUUGAUAGAUGUAAAAUGUUAUUUUACUCUUAUAACAAAAAUGAAGUAAUGCAUGUUGUAUAUAUUUUGUUUUGAACUUUUUAAUCUUAAAAUGCUACUUUGAAAAGUGGAUGUUGUUUCUAUAAAAAUCAUAAUAUGGUAAAUGGUAGUUUAUAUUGUAUAUUAAUCUCUAUAUGUAGUUAAAAAAAUUGUGUAGAAGCAAGAGAUGCCUAGAAUAAAGGAUGAAACAUAUGAAAUCGAACAAGGAUGAUUCAAUAAUGAUUGACGAGACAGAGAUAUAUUUUAAAGUUUCUGAAGUUAUAUUUGAAAUGGUAUAAAUUGUUAAACAAGAUAUAAUAUGUAUAUAUAUAUCGUAGGAUGAAGAAAGAUAUGAAGAAGCAAUUAACUACGAACCAUUGCAAAUUGUAUAUCUAGACGAUGAUGAACAAGAAUAAAGAGGAGCUAUAGGUACAUACAGAUUGUGCUGUACUAGGAGAAGAAAUAUGUGAAACCGGAUUUGGUAUUUGAAAUACCAGAGGCAAAGAUGCCAAUGCAUGACCGAGGUGAACAACCAAAACCAGGUCUAAGAGGAAUCAUUCUUAGAAUCGACCACACAAAAGGCUAGUGUAAAUAUCUGAUUAUUGGCAUCAGGUGUUGAAGUAGAUAAAAGAGUACUACCAUAUUUAUUCUUCAGACUUGUUCCAUCAAUAGAAAUUACUGGACAACAAUGUUACCAACCAGAAAGGAAAGCAGAUAAUGCCAUGAAGAAGUAUAGAAAUUUAUCAUCGACAUCAACUUUGUAUUCAACAAAAAAACCUAUGAACAUAAAAAAUAUGUACCUUAAUGGUAAGGAAAGAAUCACGAAAAAAUAAUUACAUAUAUAAAUAGGUAUAUUGAAAACAUCUAUGUUUUUAGUGCAAA